rnacentral:rRNA from 1 species
AGACGGAGGGGGCAAGCGUUGUUCGGAAUUACUGGGCGUAAAGGGCGCGUAGGCGGCGUCGUUAGUCAGGUGUGAAAUCCCCGGGCUCAACCUGGGAACUGCACUUGAUACUGCGAUGCUAGAGAUCGGAAGAGGGUAGUGGAAUUCCCAGUGUAGAGGUGAAAUUCGUAGAUAUUGGGAAGAACACCAGUGGCGAAGGCGGCUACCUGGUCCGAUACUGACGCUGAGGCGCGAAAGCGUGGGGAGCAAACAGGAUUAGAAACCCCGGUAGUCC